GCAGCCGCCGCGGUAAUACGAAGGGGGCUAGCGUUGCUCGGAAUUACUGGGCGUAAAGGGAGCGUAGGCGGAUCGUUUAGUCAGGGGUGAAAUCCCGGGGCUCAACCUCGGAACUGCCUUUGAUACUGGCGAUCUUGAGUAUGGGAGAGGUGUGUGGAACUCCGAGUGUAGAGGUGAAAUUCGUAGAUAUUCGGAAGAACACCAGUGGCGAAGGCGACACACUGGCCCAUUACUGACGCUGAGGCUCGAAAGCGUGGGGAGCAAACAGGAUUAGAUACCCCCGUAGUCCCUGUCUCUUAUAC
rnacentral:rRNA from 1 species